rnacentral:rRNA from 1 species
GAUGAACGCUGGCGGCGUGCCUAAUACAUGCAAGUCGAGCGAACGGACGAGAAGCUUGCUUUUCUGAUGUUAGCGGCGGACGGGUGAGUAACACGUGGAUAACCUACCUAUAAGACUGGGAUAACUUCGGGAAACCGGAGCUAAUACCGUAUAAUAUUUUGAACCGCAUGGUUCAAAAGUGAAAGACGGUCUUGCUGUCACUUAUAGAUGGAUCCGCGCUGCAUUAGCUAGUUGGUAAGGUAACGGCUUACCAAGGCAACGAUGCAUAGCCGACCUGAGAGGGUGAUAGGCCACACUGGAACUGAGCCAAGGUCCAGACUACUACGGGAGGCAGCAGUAGGGAAUCGUCCGCAAUGGGCGAAAGCCUGACGGAGCAACGCCGCGUGAGUGAUGACGGUCUCCGGAUCGUAAAACUCUGUUAUUAGGGAAGAACAUAUGUGUAAGUAACUGUGCACAUAUUGACGGUACCUAAUCAGAAAGCCACGGCUAACUACGUG